rnacentral:rRNA from 1 species
UGGGGAAUAUUGGACAAUGGGCGCAAGCCUGAUCCAGCCAUGCCGCGUGUGUGAAGAAGGCCUUUUGGUUGUAAAGCACUUUAAGCGAGGAGGAGGCUACUUGGAUUAAUACUCUAGGAUAGUGGACGUUACUCGCAGAAUAAGCACCGGCUAACUCUGUGCCAGCAGCCGCGGUAAUACAGAGGGUGCGAGCGUUAAUCGGAUUUACUGGGCGUAAAGCGUGCGUAGGCGGCUUCUUAAGUCGGAUGUGAAAUCCCUGAGCUUAACUUAGGAAUUGCAUUCGAUACUGGGAAGCUAGAGUAUGGGAGAGGAUGGUAGAAUUCCAGGUGUAGCGGUGAAAUGCGUAGAGAUCUGGAGGAAUACCGAUGGCGAAGGCAGCCAUCUGGCCUAAUACUGACACUGAGGUACGAAAGCAUGGGGAGCAAACAGG